rnacentral:rRNA from 1 species
GAUGAACGCUGGCGGCGUGCCUAAUACAUGCAAGUCGAACGAAUCUUCUUCGGAAGAUGAGUGGCGAACGGGUGAGUAAUACAUAGGUAACCUGCCCCUGUGCGGGGGAUAACAGGAGGAAACUCCUGCUAAUACCGCAUAGCCAUGAGCACCGCAUGGAGCUCAUGCCAAAUAUCCUUCAGGGGAUAGCGCAGGGAUGGACCUAUGGCGCAUUAGCUAGUUGGCGGGGCAACGGCCCACCAAGGCAACGAUGCGUAGCCGGCCUGAGAGGGCGGACGGCCACAUUGGGACUGAGACACGGCCCAGACUCCUACGGGAGGCAGCAGUAGGGAAUUUUCGGCAAUGGGGGAAACCUUGACCGAGCAACGCCGCGUGAGCGAAGAAGGCCUUGGUCGUAAGCUCUGUUGUAAGGAAGAACGUCGCAUGCAGGAAUGGUGUGCGAGUGACGGUAC